GACGAACGCUGGCGGCGUGCUUAACACAUGCAAGUCGAACGGAAAGGCCCUGCUUUUGUGGGGUGCUCGAGUGGCGAACGGGUGAGUAACACGGGAGUAACCUGCCCUUGACUUUGGGAUAACUUCAGGAAACUGGGGCUAAUACCGGAUAGGAGCUCCUGCUGCAUGGUGGGGGUUGGAAAGUUUCGGCGGUUGGGGAUGGACUCGCGGCUUAUCAGCUUGUUGGUGGGGUAGUGGCUUACCAAGGCUUUGACGGGUGGCCGGCCUGGGAGGGUGACCGGCCACAUUGGGACUGCGAUACGGCCCAGACUCCUACGGGAGGCAGCAGUGGGGAAUAUUGCACAAUGGGCGGAAGCCUGAUGCAGCAACGCCGCGUGCGGGAUGACGGCCUUCGGGUUGUAAACCGCUUUCGCCUGUGACGAAGCGUGAGUGACGGUAAUGGGUAAAGAAGCACCGGCUAACUACGUG
rnacentral:rRNA from 1 species